CAGUAGCCGCGGGAAUACGAAGGGUGCAAGCGUUAAUCGGAAUUACUGGGCGUAAAGCGUACGUAGGCGGUGAGUUAAGUCUGCUGUGAAAUCCCCGGGCUCAACCUGGGAAUGGCAAUGGAUACUGGCUCGCUAGAGUGUGUCAGAGGAUGGUGGAAUUCCCGGUGUAGCGGUGAAAUGCGUAGAGAUCGGGAGGAACAUCAGUGGCGAAGGCGGCCAUCUGGGACAACACUGACGCUGAGGCACGAAAGCGUGGGGAGCAAACAGGAUUAGAUACCCGCGUAGUCCCUGUCUCUUAUAC
rnacentral:rRNA from 1 species